AGCUCGGUUCCCGUCCCGCGUGCACACACUCUCGCCUCCGACACGCUCUCGCCGCAGGCUUUGGGUGGGACUCGGGUCCCGAACCUCAGUUUCCCCUUGCUGAGAUGGAGACUGUCAUCGCGCCUGCCUCCCAGAUGGCUCGAAGCUGGAUCCCGCAGCGAGCGCCGGGACCGCAGCUCUGCAGGCGGCGGGAGAACUGGAGAGCGGAGGGCGGCUGCGCAUCCGGGAGAUCCUUCCCACUGCUGCCAUUAGGGGGCGCUGCGUCCAAGCCGCUCCCUCUUUCAGCCGGGUGCUCACUGAAUAUGGAAGAUAGGACGUCAUAUCUUUCAUAAUAACCACGCCACACCACC
rnacentral:lncRNA from 1 species